rnacentral:rRNA from 1 species
GAUGAACGCUGGCGGCGUGCCUAAUACAUGCAAGUCGAGCGAACGGACGAGAAGCUUGCUUCUCUGAUGUUAGCGGCGGACGGGUGAGUAAAACGUGGAUAACCUACCUAUAAGACUGGGAUAACUUCGGGAAACCGGAGCUAAUACCGGAUAAUAUUUUGAACCGCAUGGUUCAAAAGUGAAAGACGGUCUUGCUGUCACUUAUAGAUGGAUCCGCGCUGCAUUAGCUAGUUGGUAAGGUAACGGCUUACCAAGGCAACGAUGCAUAGCCGACCUGAGAGGGUGAUCGGCCACACUGGAACUGAGACACGGUCCAGAUUCCUACGGGAGGCAGCAGUAGGGAAUCUUCCGCAAUGGGCGAAAGCCUGACGGAGCAACGCCGCGUGAGUGAUGAAGGUCUUCGGAUCGUAAAACUCUGUUAUUAGGGAAGAACAUAUGUGUAAGUAACUGUGCACAUCUUGACGGUACCUAAUCAGAAAGCCACGGCUAACUACGUG